UUAAGUAAUGGAAAAGCUUAGAGGCUAACAAUGGAAGUACAGUAUUAACACACACACACACACCAGACACACACACAUUUUUCCUAAACCAGGAUACUUCACAAGGUCUAUUUACAACCAGUUGCAAAGCCGUAUUUGGAAAUAUAGCAUUUCCAGCCCUGAAAACAGCAACCUGAUGCCAUGAGUCAGAAAGAAUAAAUAGACUUUUAUCACAACCAUUUCACACUUCGGUACUUGAGAUUCUAAAAAGUAAGCUAAAUUGGCACUAAUUUGCAUCUAAUUUUUAUUUUAGUUCUCUAUAGUCAGAGAUACCAAAAUAGCAUCCUCAUAAUGGUUGGGAAAGGAUAAAAUCUUUUAAUAAUUCACUGGCAAACUAAUAAAUGAGAAAGCAAAGCUGGUCAGUAAGUGAGCAUGGCCAAUUAUUAUUACAGUGGUGGCAUAUCCAUGGUCUUUAACUUUUGUAUACUCUGUCAUCUGAAUUUUCAUUGUGGAACUUUUCUGUGCUUUUGUGCCCAAAGGUGUCCUGAUUAGAUAAGCCAUACAAGUUGAAAAUGUAAGGAUGCCGAGCACAGAACGGUGUCACUAGGAAAUGUACUUAAGAAAGAAGUGGGAAAGACUUUGAAGAUAGAGCUCAUGCCUUGUCCCGCUUUACAAUGUUUGAGUCUUACCUCAUUCUACUGUAAACAAUGAGAAGCCUUCCCCAGGUUUCUAAAAUGCAUAUUCACAAAUUGUCUUAAUGCAUAAAAUAAAAAAAAAAAA